AAAAGAUGGCAAUCAGAGGGCAGAAAACGGUCCCAAACAGAAUCAGAAUCAGCAGCAGACUUCAAGAUAGCAGAGAUGGAAGCAAAACGACAGGCAUCACGAGGAGUAGUGAAGGAAAAAACAGAUGAGAUACAUCCUUCAGUGGUAUGCAGCCCUGGAAUAAACACAACAUGUUGCUGUGGUCGUGGCUUCGAUUCUAGAAAAAAAAAAUUUUUAACUUAUAAUUGGCAACCCCAGGCAACUACCUAGGUCCGCAAGUGAGGCUCUCCCCUCCAUCAUUUUUUCUCUCCUCUUUCUUCUCCAACAUUUCCUUUUAAGGCAACUUUCUCCCUCUUCAAUAUCUGCCCCUUCCCUCACUCUCCAUCACCACCUCCACUCCUUACCACAACUCUCCCGUCUCUGUCAUUUUAUCUUUCCUGUUUCUCCCUUCAUUUUUUCUCUUUCUUCCACCAUAUAUAACCACCAUAAUUAGUUGCAAAUCAAAUAUAUUUUUUUAAAUUUGAGAGCCAAAAGGCGUCUAAUUAUUGCUUUCUUUGUCAUGUACUAAAAGAGUGAAAUAAUUGAUCUUUGGUUUCCCUUUAAAUCCAUUAAAUUCAACUUUUUAAUGAAAUUAUAAUCGAUUUUUGUAGUUUUUUUCAAGAAAAACUUGUAAAUUAGCACAGAUAAAGACUAGCCAAAAACCCUUGGGGGAAAGAGUUUAGGCAUACAUGCUUAUCAUUAACACUAAGAUCCCUCCUUGCAGCAUGAUAUACAACAAUAUUACCUCUUCUACAUACAUGACUAUACGAAAACUUAGCUCAAUUGGAGAAUAUUAUCUAAUCCAAAGAAUCGUUGGGCAAUUGACCGGAUCAUCAAAAGUAAAUCACCUUCGAGAUGUACAUGAGUGUAACCCAAUCUCGUAGCUAAAUCCAACCCAAAAAUGGUCGUAGCAGCUUCACUAGUCUCAAGAUUCCACCUCGCAUUAACCAUUCGAGCACCAAUUGCUAUUAAAGCACCUUAAUCGUUUCUAAUCACCACCCCCAACCCUUCUGACUGAAUCCGAAGGAACAUAGACAUCAAAAUUAACUUUAACCCAACUGGUCAUAGGAGCGAGCCAAUAGGAACCGCUAAUAAAAGAUUGAGGACAAGCCACACAACACUUGUUUGAGAAGAGUUGAUAGUCAUGAACCAAUUUUGUAAAUCCAAUCCCCGUCGGAACCGGAUCAAUAAAAGAGCCUUUGAAUAGUUUUUUGUUCCUAAUGAACCACGUAGCCCAAGCCAAAGCACAAAUUAAGAGAACAUUAUCCACGGGCACAUUGGAAAACAACCAGGAAAACAAAGACCUAAAGUUUGUUUUUAGCUCAUCAACAAUAAACUUGGAGGUCGAUAAGACCGGAUAAGAAAAGAGUUAAGGCAUUCAAAAAAAUCAUUGACUUAGGAUUCAUCAUACAAAUAUAUGUUGGGCAAAUUAGAGAUUGAGCAAUAUAUCUAUCAUAGCUUGAUGUAGACCUAAAACACCCUACUAAUACCCAAAUUUAAAGGAAUAUUUACCACUCUUGUUUGGCCACCAAAAUCUCCUAUCGGUAAGCCAUCGAUCUGACAAAGUAAUACUAGCAAUAGCCAAACGAACGUCAAUAGGAAAGAACACAUCAAUAAGAGUCCAAUUCCAACUGCCCUUCUCAUGAUCAAUGAAAUCAGCCACACACAGACCCAAAUGGUCAUCCGAUGAAGGGGAAGAACAUAUAUAACCUUUAGAGGUAGACAUCCACCUAUCAUGCCAAGCAUCAAUACAAGAGUCAUUCCUCACACGCCAACCUAACCCUUCCAAUAGUAAAGAUUUUGCUCCUUAUAUACUACGCCAUAAAAAACUCAGAUUAUAGCCCCUCGAAGUCUCUAACACAUCCACAUGCUUAAAAUACUUUACUUUUCACUUAUAUAGAAGAAGACGACUCUCACCAAGAUGAAGCCUCCAAACUUUUUUCACAAGCAGCGCCGAAUUAAAAGUUUUCAAGUUUUGAAAGCCCAUGCCACCCAGAAAGGAGAGAAAACUAACGAAAUGUGUGAAGGCUACAUUUCAGUUGAGAUUCCUUGCAGCACAAAUAAUCAUUGAUCGAAGCACCACGACCCCCCCCUUCAAGACUCUUUCUUUGUCCUACUAAUGAAAGAAUUGAAAGAGAUAAUGAUUUACACCAUUAGGCUUGAUAAUGAGAUUCUCCCUAAGAUUCCAAGCAAUAGAUAACAUUUUCUUUAGAGCUUUGAAAUUAAUGGCUAUUUUUGUCAAUAAUUUUCCCACAAUACGAAGGAAAAUCUUGUUGUCACAUGGAACAUUCUUAGAGUUAUUAAAAUCAACAAUGCCAUCGUCAUCCUCGUGAAUAGAUUAUUGUGAACACUGACUCACAAGAUCGUCAACCAUACGACUAAGUUAAGGCUUCAGAUAAAGACUGAAAAACUAGGAAUGAACUUUAAAACCCUUAACAUAGUGAGAGAAAGGAGAUAAUUGAUUUCAAGGGGAAAAAGAUCAAAGAUGAAAUCAGAUUUUUUUUUUUCUCUUUAAGAGUCGAUGAUGAUUUUGAUGGAGUGAUUAUGGAGGUUAUGGUGGAAUAAAGAGAAAAUGAUGGAAGAAAUUAGAGGAAGGAAAAAAUGAUGGAGUGAUGAGAGAGUUAUGGUAAGGGGUGGAGGGGGUGGUAAUGGUGGUGGUAGAGAUCAGGAAGGAGGGGACAAAGAUUGGGGUGGGUGAGAGUUUCUAUGAAAGAAGAGGUUGAAGAAGAAGAAGAAGAAGAAGGAGGGGAGAGAAAAUGAUGAGCAUACCGAUAGUUAUGGUAGGGGGUUGUGAAGGGGUGUAUUUUGGAAGUGAGUCAGUAGUAGAUAAGUUUUUUUAAGGUCAAAUGUAACACCCUGGCCCAUCGGACCACCAGUGAUAACCCAUGGAGACUAUAGAUUGUAACCAGAGCCCAACACAAGUCUUUUUAGCGCACUUUGGCAUUACUUGUGCGCACCCAAGAAAACUUCCUAGGAGGUCAUCUAUCUUAAGAUUUUUCCCCACCAAGCAUUAACUAUGAAAUUCUUAGCAAAUGGGCUCCCUUGAAAAGAAGAUGCACCUUAUUGAUAUGAGUAGUCUAUCAAUCCUUUUUUUUAAAGUUAAAUCUAGGGUAUCACACUCACCGCCACUUAGGAAUGCAACGUCUCAUUUGACCAUAGGUAGUUUCAGGAUCUUUUUCCUCGCUAGGUGCACUGAACACCUAAUUAGUCAUGGUUGCCGGGUUGCUCUUAUACCUUUUGUGACAACCUAGUCCAUUGGACCACCGGUGACUACCCAUGGAGACCGUUGACUGACCCCAUAGGCUGAUAGCAGUCUUUUAGCGUCGUUUUACUAAGGGCCAAGUUAUACAAACAAUAUUUACAAUUACCCUAAUACAAUUACAACAAGUGUAAUAACUAGCGGAAAAAAGCUCAUUUACUGUGUGAAAAAUGUUGCGGUUCAUAACAAAAGCAGCAUAAAAUGGAAAGAAAAAACGAGUAAAAAAAUAAUAGAGUAUAUGCUGCGGUUCCCUAGAAAACUGCAGCAUAUAGUCUAACUUGUAUUUUAAAAAAACAUAGAAACUGGUUAUGUGUUGCGGUUCACAAAAAAUUGCAGCAUUUACGGCAUCAUAUGCUGCGAUUUUUUGUGAACCUCAGCAUAUAACCAUUUUUAUUUUUUAAAAAACAACGCGCCCCUUUAUACUGUUUUAUUAAUUCUUAUGCAAGAUUUCUUCUUCAUUUCCUCAUAAACCCACGACAUUUCUUCUUCCUGCUGUUCUUCAAAACUUCAACUCACGAAUUUGCUCUCUUUUUCCUGUUGUUCUUCAAACUCACGACACAAACCCACGAAUCUGCUCCCAUAUUCUUGUACAAGCUUUGAAGGCCACAAAUUUGCUUCCUUAUAUACUCUGUUCUUCAUAAACCCACGAAUUUUCUUCAUUAAGCUUUGAACCCACGAAUUUUCUUCAUAAAACCAUGAAUCCAUUCUCUCUUCAAGGUCACAUUUUAAUUGUCCUUAAUCUAGAUACACAAGCACCGCCAUUUCCCUCAUUUUCUAUGACGUCUUUCUCGGUUCAUCUCUUCCUUCAAUUUUCGAAACCAUAAACAUGUUGUUGUCGAUACCUUUGACCUUGCUGCCUGUUUCUUUUGGUUGGAGAUUGCCUACAUAUCAGUACCGGCCGGAAACGAAGGGAUAUCAUAGGUGAUUAGAGUAUAUCUGGAUGUUAUUUUGGAUUCGACUAUCUAUAGAAGUUGUAGUUUGUAUGUUGGGCUUUAGUAUGUGUGUAGUAGAUUUGGUUAUGUUGAGUAUAUUAGACUUUUAUAGUUGGUUGUAUGAGUAUUUUGGAUUUUGAUUUUGAUGUUUGGAUUUAAAAUUAGUUGUUACAAUUAGGUUUUAGAUCUUGUGACCCUUUUCACGAGCUAUGCUUUGAGAUUUGAGUUCUUUGGGUUAAUAAACCUCAUGAUGACCUGUCUUACUUAGUCAAAGACCAAGUCGAAUUGUUACACAAUAUUAAUUGAAACUCGAUCAGGAAUUAACUAAAAAUGAUCGACUCGAAAAUAUCAAAACCACUUGGCGAAACCCAAUUGAAACCCGAAACUAAUCGUGUUUGUCCGAUUUUGAUUACAUGUCAUCUUUUUCAAUGACACAUAUUCAUUUUAAGUUCUAUGUCAUCUUUUUGUUGGGACAUACUAUAUUGUUAGUUUAAUUUUAUACUUUGAGUCAAUAUUUGUUUAUAGUAGCCUUAGAAUAAACAUUAGUCCUAUUUUAGAAGAAAUAUUUCUAUUAAAAAAUUAUAAUCAAUAUAUUUUUGCAUAGUUUUUAUAUCUUUUAUAUAAGUAU